rnacentral:rRNA from 1 species
UACGUAGGUCCCGAGCGUUGUCCGGAUUUAUUGGGCGUAAAGCGAGCGCAGGUGGUUUAUUAAGUCUGGUGUAAAAGGCAGUGGCUCAACCAUUGUAUGCAUUGGAAACUGGUAGACUUGAGUGCAGGAGAGGAGAGUGGAAUUCCAUGUGCAGCGGUGAAAUGCGUAGAUAUAUGGAGGAACACCGGUGGCGAAAGCGGCUCUCUGGCCUGUAACUGACACUGAGGCUCGAAAGCGUGGGGAGCAAACAGG